UGGUGUGUAUGAGCAAGAUCUGUGACCAGUUCAUAUCUGGUCCAGAAAUACAGGAUAUGGUGUCAGGACUAAACUAAGAACAGAAACAGAAGGAAAAUUCCAAGAAAGUUUGCAGACAGGAGGAAUAAAACAACAAAUGUUGCAGGAUCUCCUCUUCAUGCCACUCUUCAAUAUCCCAGAGAACUUCAGUAUUGAGAAAUAUUCACAAUGGACAGACUGGAAACAAGAUUUUGCAUUGCCACCAAGUUCCACAAAGAAACUUGAGCUAUACGGUUUAGCAGCUGGGAAUAAGGAGGAGGUGCCAGCACCAUGUAAUGAGCCAGCUGUCAGUAAGCGACCAGCAAGAAGCUCUGCCCUAGAGGCUCCAAUUCGCCAUUCCUUAUGAUGUAAAGAGAAGCAUUAAUAGUUACGAUGGAUGGAAGCCUUUGCCUUUGAAUCUAGGGGGAGAUUCAAAUCAAUUGGAGGGGGAGCAUCACAUUUUCCAUGAAGAACAGGUACAUCAAGAGCAACAGAGCUGAAGGCUUCUCCCACGCUGUCCACCAUCAGUGUGCCCCAACACUGCUCUAGUAGGACCCUUCUUCAGGGAAAUAUUGUGCUGGGGUCUCCAUGUCCAUCUAGUCGCUGGUCUCAUGCUGAGACGGGUGUACAGAGUUACUAAUUACUGCCAAUUAUGUGUUGCGGACACUAGGAACUGGUCUGAAACCACCGAGGUUUCAUCUCACGAAGCAGCUUGCCCCAGAAAGGGGUGGUCUUUUUGCAGGCCAUUCGGGGAGAAACCUUUGCCAGAGACAUGGCGGUCAAGAAUGUCCGUUUCUAUCAGUAGACUGGGCCCAACAGGAAUGAAGGAAACUAUGUCCAUUCUGCAUACCACUUGAGCUGGGUCAUUAUUGUUAUUAUUUAUAUUUCUCCUGGAGACCUGGAACAAGGAUUAGGGCCCCAUUGUGCUAGGAGCUGUACAAACGAGUACUCAAAAGAUUGUUCCUACUCCAGAGAGCAAGAACAAGGGAGUGAGGGAGCUGUUACCGAGACAGAUGAGUAGAAAUAUUUAUGAGUAAUAAUUUUUGACAUCAGAGUGCUGCAGCAGUGAAUUAUUUUAGAACUCACUACCUCAAAGGGUUUGGACUUCCUUGCCUUGCAGUCAGCUAAAGAUGCUGAUGUGAAUUUAGUAAGAAUUAAACAUAUUCUCUCAACUACUGACAUUUCACUUGAACUGCCUUAACUAGGAUUUCUUCUCCCCCACCCUGCCCCAACUUCCUCAGGCUGCAUGAUUUGCGAUGGAACAGAAAAAAAAAAACAGAAGGUUCCAAUCAAACUUACUAACGUAGCUGUCAGUUGGCUGUCGCCCUGGCAAAAGCGUUGUUGAUGCAUAUUGAAAUGUCUCAGUGAGUGAUCAAAAGUUUUCCUGUAUUGCCAUGGAAAUAAAAAGGAAGCUGGAUUUCAA